CGCUCUCAGGGUUAAACUAGGAAGGAGACCAAGAUGGGCAAGCCCAGUUCUUCCUUUCCUGACUCCAAGCCACUGUAUGUCACUAUAAUGUAUCUACAUGUGGGUUUUAAUUACAAAUUUAA